rnacentral:rRNA from 1 species
AGUGAACGCUGGCGGUAGGCCUAACACAUGCAAGUCGAACGGCAGCACAGUAAGAGCUUGCUCUUACGGGUGGCGAGUGGCGGACGGGUGAGGAAUACAUCGGAAUCUACUUUUUCGUGGGGGAUAACGUAGGGAAACUUACGCUAAUACCGCAUACGACCUACGGGUGAAAGCAGGGGAUCUUCGGACCUUGCGCGAUUGAAUGAGCCGAUGUCGGAUUAGCUAGUUGGCGUGGUAAAGGCCCACCAAGGCGACGAUCCGUAGCUGGUCUGAGAGGAUGAUCAGCCACACUGGAACUGAGACACGGUCCAGACUCCUACGGGAGGCAGCAGUGGGGAAUAUUGGACAAUGGGCGAAAGCCUGAUCCAGCAAUACCGCGUGGGUGAAGAAGGCCUUCGGGUUGUAAAGCCCUUUUGUUGGGAAAGAAAAGCAGCAGGUUAAUACCCCGCUGUUCUGACGGUACCCAAAGAAUAAGCACCGGCUAACUUCGUG